GCAGAACGCGAAGAACCUUACCUACUCUUGACAUCCAGAGAACUUAGCAGAGAUGCUUUGGUGCCUUCGGGAACUCUGAGACAGGUGCUGCAUGGCUGUCGUCAGCUCGUGUUGUGAAAUGUUGGGUUAAGUCCCGCAACGAGCGCAACCCUUAUCCUUUGUUGCCAGCGGUCCGGCCGGGAACUCAAAGGAGACUGCCAGUGAUAAACUGGAGGAAGGUGGGGAUGACGUCAAGUCAUCAUGGCCCUUACGAGUAGGGCUACACACGUGCUACAAUGGCGCAUACAAAGAGAAGCGACCUCGCGAGAGCAAGCGGACCUCAUAAAGUGCGUCGUAGUCCGGAUUGGAGUCUGCAACUCGACUCCAUGAAGUCGGAAUCGCUAGUAAUCGUAGAUCAGAAUGCUACGGUGAAUACGUUCCCGGGUCUUGUACACACCG
rnacentral:rRNA from 1 species